UCCAGUUUGUCACUGGCAGUAUCCUUAGAGUCCCCGGCCAAACCGCUGGUAACUAAGGAAAAGGGUUGCGCUCGUUGCGGGACUUAACCCAACAUCUCACGACACGAGCUGACGACAGCCAUGCAGCACCUGUAUUCUAAUUCCCGAAGGCACUCCCGCAUCUCUGCAGGAUUCUAGAUAUGUCAAGACCAGGUAAGGUUCUUCGCGUUGCAUCGAAUUAAACCACAUGCUCCACCGCUUGUGCGGGCCCCCGUCAAUUCAUUUGAGUUUUAACCUUGCGGCCGUACUCCCCAGGCGGUCUACUUAUUGCGUUAGCUGCGUCACUAAGGAAUCAAGUUCCCCAACGACUAGUAGACAUCGUUUACGGCGUGGACUAC
rnacentral:misc_RNA from 1 species